GACAGAGGGUGCUAGCGUUGUUCGGAAUGACUGGGCGUAAAGGGCGCGUAGGCGGGCAUAUUAGUCAAGCGUGAAAGCCCCGGGCUUAACCUGGGAACAGCGCCUGAAACGGUAUGCCUAGAGGACGAGAGAGGGAAGCGGAAUUCCUAGUGUAGAGGUGAAAUUCGUAGAUAUUAGGAGGAACACCAGAGGCGAAGGCGGCUUUCUGGCUCGUAACUGACGCUGAGGCGCGAAAGCGUGGGGAGCAAACAGG
rnacentral:rRNA from 1 species